rnacentral:tRNA from 1 species
GGGACUGUAGCUCAGUAGGUAGAGCAACGGACUGAAAAUCCGUGUGUCGGCGGUUCAAAUCCGCCCGGUCCCACAA